GACGAACGCUGGCGGCGUGCUUAACACAUGCAAGUCGAACGGAAAGGCCCCGCUUUUGUGGGGUGCUCGAGUGGCGAACGGGUGAGCAACACGUGAGUAACCUGCCCUUGACUUUGGGAUAACUUCAGGAAACUGGGGCUAAUACCGGAUAGGAGCUCCUGCUGCAUGGUGGGGGUUGGAAAGUUUCGGCGGUUGGGGAUAGACUCGCGGCUUAUCAGCUUGUUGGUGGGGUAGUGGCUUACCAAGGCUUUGACGGGUAGCCGGCCUGAGAGGGUGACCGGCCACAUUGGGACUGAGAUACGGCCCAGACUCCUACGGGAGGCAGCAGUGGGGAAUAUUGCACAAUGGGCGGAAGCCUGAUGCAGCAACGCCGCGUGCGGGAUGACGGCCUUCGGGUUGUAAACCGCUUUCGCCUGUGACGAAGCGUGAGUGACGGUAAUGGGUAAAGAAGCACCGGCUAACUACGUG
rnacentral:rRNA from 1 species